UGCCCAAGAGAUCGGGAUAACACCUGGAAACAGAUGCUAAUACCGGAUAACAACAGAUGAUGCCUAUCAACUGUUUAAAAGAUGGUUCUGCUAUCACUCUUGGAUGGACCUGCGGUGCAUUAGCUAGUUGAUAGGGUAACGGCCUACCAAGGCGAUGAUGCAUAGCCGAGUUGAGAGACUGAUCGGCCACAUUGGGACUGAGACACGGCCCAAACUCCUACGGGAGGCAGCAGAC
rnacentral:rRNA from 1 species